rfam:Cavia porcellus supercont2_29 genomic scaffold, whole genome shotgun sequence.
GGUAUAGCUCAGUGGCAUAGCACCUGCCUGGUAAGCAUGAGGUACUGAGUUCAAUUCCCAGUACC